UCCUCGGUGGUGUAGUAGGUAGCAUGCUUUGCUCUUCGAGCACGAGGUCCGGGUUCGAUUCCCGGCCGAGGAA